CCCCCCUCCCUCCGGGCAGCGCUCGCCUCCCUCCGCCUCAGACUGUUUUGGUAGCAACGGCAACGGCGGCGGCGCGUCCCUGCCCGGCUCCCGGCGGCUCCUCGGUUUCAGCGGGCCUCCCCGCCCCUUCGUCGUUCUCCUUCUCCCUCUCGCCGGCCCGGGCGCCCCCCCGGCCGCGCCAUCCCGCGCCUCCCCGCUCGGCGCCCGCGCGUCCCCGCCGCGCUCCGGCGUCUCUUCGGCGCGCCCGGCUCCCGGCUGUCCCCGCCCGGCGUGCGGGCCGGUGUAUGGGCCUCUCACCAUGUCGCUGAAGCCCCAGCAGCAGCAGCAGCAGCAGCAGCAGCCGCCCGCGGCUGCCAAUGCCCGUAAGCCCGGCGGCAGCGGCGGCCUUCUCACGUCGCCCGCCACCGCGCCGUCGCCGUCCUCAAUCGCGUCGUCUUCGGCAGUGGCUUCCUCCUCCUCGGUGGCGGCGGCGAGCGCAGGCGGCGGGCGGCCCGGCCUGGGCAGAGGUCGAAACAGCAAAGGACUGCCUCAAUCUACGAUUUCUUUUGAUGGAAUCUAUGCAAAUAUGAGGAUGGUUCAUAUACUUACAUCAGUUGUUGGAUCCAAAUGUGAAGUACAAGUGAAAAACGGAGGUAUAUAUGAAGGAGUUUUUAAAACCUACAGUCCUAAGUGUGAUUUGGUACUUGAUGCUGCACAUGAGAAAAGUAUGGAAUCCAGUUCGGGGCCAAAACGUGAAGAAAUAAUGGAGAGUAUUUUGUUCAAGUGUUCAGACUUUGUUGUGGUGCAGUUUAAAGACAUGGACUCCAGUUACGCAAGAAGAGUUCCUUCAGAAACAGACGCUUUUACUGACUCUGCUAUCAGUGCUAAAGUGAAUGGUGAACACAAAGAGAAGGACCUGGAGCCCUGGGAUGCAGGUGAACUCACUACCAGUGAGGAACUGGAGGCUUUGGAAAACGACGUAUCUAAUGGAUGGGAUCCCAAUGAUAUGUUUCGAUAUAAUGAAGAAAAUUAUGGUGUAGUGUCUACAUAUGAUAGCAGUUUAUCUUCAUAUACGGUACCCUUAGAAAGGGAUAACUCAGAAGAAUUUUUAAAACGAGAAGCAAGGGCAAACCAGUUAGCAGAAGAAAUUGAAUCAAGUGCCCAGUACAAAGCCCGAGUGGCCCUGGAAAAUGAUGAUAGGAGUGAAGAAGAAAAAUACACAGCAGUUCAGAGAAAUUCGAGUGAACGUGAGGGCCACGGCAUAAACACUAGGGAAAAUAAAUAUAUUCCUCCUGGACAAAGAAACAGAGAAGUCAUAUCCUGGGGAAGUGGGAGACAGAAUUCACCGCGUAUGGGCCAGCCUGGAUCGGGCUCCAUGCCAUCAAGAUCCACCUCUCACACUUCAGAUUUCAACCCGAAUUCUGGUUCAGACCAAAGAGUAGUUAAUGGAGUUUUUAUACUUUCCUUCAUAUCAUUUGUUCUGUCAGGUGUUCCCUGGCCAUCGCCUUGCCCAUCUCCUUCCUCUCGCCCACCUUCUCGCUACCAGUCAGGUCCCAACUCUCUUCCACCUCGGGCAGCCACCCCUACACGGCCGCCCUCCAGGCCCCCCUCGCGGCCAUCCAGACCCCCGUCUCACCCCUCUGCUCAUGGUUCUCCAGCUCCUGUCUCUACUAUGCCUAAACGCAUGUCUUCAGAAGGGCCUCCGAGGAUGUCCCCAAAGGCCCAGCGACACCCUCGAAAUCACAGAGUUUCUGCUGGGAGGGGUUCCAUUUCCAGUGGCCUAGAAUUUGUAUCCCAUACUCCACCAAGUGAAGCAGCUGCUCCUCCAGCAGCAAGGACCAGUCCUGCGGGGGGCACAUGGUCAUCAGUGGUCAGCGGGGUUCCAAGAUUAUCCCCUAAAACUCACAGACCCAGGUCUCCCAGACAGAACAGUAUUGGAAAUACUCCUCCUGGGCCAGUUCUUGGUUCUCCCCAAGCUGGUAUUAUUCCAGCUGAAGCUGUUGCUAUGCCUGUUCCAGCUGCAUCUCCCACGCCUGCCAGUCCUGCAUCCAAUAGAGCUGUUACCCCAUCUAUUGAGGCUAAGGAUUCCAGGCUUCAAGAUCAGAGGCAGAAUUCUCCUGCAGGGAAUAAAGAAAAUAUGAAGCCCAGUGAAACAUCACCUAGCUUCUCAAAGACUGAAAAUAAAGGUAUAUCCCCAAUUGUUUCUGAACAUAGAAAACAGAUUGAUGACUUAAAGAAGUUUAAGAAUGAUUUUAGGUUACAGCCAAGUUCUACUUCUGAAUCUAUGGAUCAACUGCUAAACAAAAAUAGAGAGGGAGAAAAAUCAAGAGAUUUGGUCAAAGACAAAAUUGAACCAAAUGCUAAGGAUUCUUUCGUUGAAAAUAGCAGCAGCAAUUGCACCAGUGGCAGCAGCAAACCGAGCAGUCCCAGCAUUUCUCCUUCAGUCCUCAGUAAUGCGGAGCACAAGAGGGGACCUGAGGUCACAUCCCAAGGGGUUCAGACUUCCAGUCCGGGAUGCAAACAAGAUAAAGAUGAUAAAGAGGAGAAGAAAGAUGCAGCUGAGCAAGUGAGAAAAUCAACACUGAAUCCUAAUGCAAAGGAGUUUAACCCUCGUUCCUUUUCUCAGCCAAAGCCUUCUACCACCCCGACUUCACCUCGUCCUCAAGCACAACCUAGCCCAUCUAUGGUGGGUCAUCAGCAGCCAGCUCCAGUUUAUACUCAGCCUGUCUGUUUUGCACCAAAUAUGAUGUAUCCAGUCCCAGUGAGCCCAGGCGUGCAACCUUUAUACCCUAUACCUAUGACGCCCAUGCCAGUGAAUCAAGCCAAGACAUAUAGAGCAGGUAAAGUACCAAAUAUGCCCCAACAGCGGCAAGACCAGCAUCAUCAGAGCACCAUGAUGCACCCAGCCUCAGCAGCAGGCCCACCGAUUGUGGCCACCCCACCAGCUUAUUCCACACAAUAUGUUGCCUAUAGUCCUCAGCAGUUUCCAAAUCAGCCUCUUGUUCAGCAUGUGCCACAUUAUCAGUCUCAGCAUCCUCAUGUCUAUAGUCCUGUAAUACAGGGUAAUGCUAGAAUGAUGGCACCACCAGCACAUGCCCAGCCUGGUUUAGUGUCUUCUUCAGCAACUCAGUACGGGGCUCAUGAGCAGACGCAUGCGAUGUAUGCAUGCCCCAAAUUACCAUACAACAAGGAGACAAGCCCUUCUUUCUACUUUGCCAUUUCCACUGGCUCCCUUGCUCAGCAGUAUGCGCACCCUAAUGCUACCCUGCACCCACAUACUCCACAUCCUCAGCCUUCAGCUACUCCCACCGGACAGCAGCAAAGCCAACAUGGUGGAAGUCAUCCUGCACCCAGUCCGGUUCAGCACCAUCAGCACCAGGCCGCCCAGGCGCUCCAUCUGGCCAGUCCACAGCAGCAGUCAGCCAUUUACCACGCGGGGCUCGCACCAACCCCACCUUCCAUGACCCCUGCCUCCAAUACGCAGUCGCCACAGAAUAGUUUCCCAACAGCACAACAGACCGUCUUUACGAUUCAUCCUUCUCAUGUUCAGCCGGCAUACACCAAUCCUCCCCACAUGGCCCAUGUACCUCAGGCUCAUGUACAGUCAGGAAUGGUUCCUUCUCAUCCAACUGCCCAUGCGCCAAUGAUGCUAAUGACGACACAGCCACCCGGCGGUCCCCAGGCCGCCCUCGCUCAAAGUGCACUACAGCCCAUUCCAGUCUCGACAACAGCGCAUUUCCCCUAUAUGACGCACCCUUCAGUUCUGGUUCAAGGUAUCUCUAGAAAAAGACAAGACUGAGACAUUCUCUUUGGUGGAUAAAGGUCCGCUCCAGAAGGAGGAAGGCUGGCCAGAGCUGGGCAGCACUGAGAUCCCACAUCCUCAGCCUGACGCUGGUUCUAAAUGAUCAAAGGCAGAAGAUUUAUACCAGAUAAAGCCAUAUGGAUUGCUGGUCUAAAAUUCAAGGCAGGUUAGUUGACUUAAUUCUUUGGUGCUGGUGACUAUUAGUUUGUAAAAGUUGAUUCAAGACGGAAGAAUGGAGUGAUGGUGCUGGGAGCAGUCAGGCUGUCCUUGUCGUUUGUGACCGGAGAGAACUGGAGGGUCGUGAUGCUUACGUUCUUUUGGCACUCAGAGCCUGGGCUCCCGGUGGGGGCUGUUGGUUCCUUGCUGCCAGCAGCGGUCACACUGGGGCCAGGAGGAGGAGGGUGGUGGGAUAUGCUGUGACCACGAUGGGCUGGCGGGGACAUUGCCUCAUUGGCUGUGAAGGCAUCAAGCCCGGGGAGCCUUUCCCUCGAGCUGAACCUGCUCUAGCAGAAAGUAAAGGCAUUGGCUCAGUGUCACUUCUUCCCAGGCCAUGAGGGGGCUUUUUUUUCAGGAGGUAUUUGAGCUGUCCUGGCAACUCAGACAUGUUUAAAAAGGAAGCGUUUUCCUUGAACACUUUACACCGAAGCAGUCUGGAGGUGGGUGACUCCCAAUUAUCUGUCACGGAGUCUGAUCUUGUCCUCUGUAGCCAGUGGGUCAGAGCUGCUGGUUGGCUGUGCCUGGCUUGCCUCCUGGCAUUAACCUGAGAAUUGUAUGGUGAGAAGCUAAGGAGUGAGUGCCCCUACCUUAAAGAGGUCACAUCCCAGAUGUUUACACUUCUGGCUACAGGGAGGGGAAAAACUUGGGUUGUUGGCUACUUGGCCCCUUUCCUGUGCAGACAAGGGGAAAAUCUGUACCAGUGACUUGUCAGCAUUGACUUUCUAGAAUGAGCUUUCUCUUUUAAAAGAGAAAUAGGAACAGUGCUUACUUUUCUGGAUCACACCUCACUUAGCAUUCAUUACUUAGAGAAACAUGCCUUGUGUAGAAAAGGAAAGAAAAGUGUCCUUAGAAAAAGACCACUGAUUUGGAUCAGGAAUGGAUCUGCUUUGCAAUCUGUGAAAACACUCAGGAGCAUUGGUUUUUAAAGUGGUGAAGAGGGGACUGCUUCCUCCCCCGCCCCCCCCCCAAUUUUUUUUUUUUUUUUUUUUUUUUUUACAGAAGUCUGACCUCUGGGAGCACAGAGAAUGGCUAGAGGGAGCAAACCAAACCCUCACCCCAGAUAAGGCAGGCAGUAGUUAGUCGUAGGCCAGGGUUUAAAUUUAGUUUCUGAGUGAUGUGUCUAUAAAUGUUAAGUUGUGCUAAACUCUCAGUUUCCUAGAAGCCAGCCUGGUGACUGUGUCAAAUGUCUCUGCUGGCACCCAGAGCAGCUGGCUCCACUCUGUCACUGCCCCCUUGUUUCUGAGCCUCUGCCUGAAAGUUCUGGGAGGAGCCAGCCCCCCUGUGAAUUCUAUCCCUGGUGAAAGGCAAGUAUAGAUGGAGAUUUAACUGCAGGACCCCACCCCCCAGCUGUUGGAGAUGUGCGCCCAAGUGUGUACGCACACACAUUCCUCCUCAAGUGAAGCAGCUGGAACGGAACACUGAGUGUGGGCUGUUAAAGGAAUUUCUCACUAGUUGUGGCACCAGAUUUCCUAGUUCCCAUUUUGAUUCAAGAACAAGCCCAAAACCUUGCGGGAUAGUUUAUGAGCCAGCCGUUAAAUGCUUGGGGGGGGGGGGGGGGGGGUUCCGAGCCAGCCCUGGUGGUGAAGGAUUUUUUAGAAGAAAGGGGCCAGGAGCCCUUCCUCCCUUUUUGCUUGCUCCUUCCUCGCCCCUUAUCACCCCUUGGGUAAACUGGUUUAACCAUAAAGCUACUGUAAACCAGAAUCCAGUUUUUUUGUUCGUUAAGGCACCAGGGUAGAAUUCCUCCUUGCCACCCUGUUUCAGUAGUUGCCUGAAUUUCCCUGAAAGGGUGAUGUACUUCACUUCUCCACAUUUAGGAAGGACAGUGGCUACUCAGCAGCAGGUGACUGUCCUGAGGAUGCAAAAGACACAGAAGCCAGGCAUGCUGGCUCAGACUGGGAACAAGUCAAGUAGGGUUUGCAUAGCUGUCUCAGACUGCAAAAUCGCAUGAGUAUUAAAGAGUGCAACAAAAUAAGCAAUGGUUUAGUUUUGAAACCUGAAUCCUUUGAAAAGUUAAUCUGAGGUAAAGUGUUUAAAAUCAUUUUAACCUUGAGCUUUGUCCCGAAGCUGAGUCGGAGCAGGAUUGAUGUGUUCACCUACGGCACAGGGAGUGGCAGGCCUCCACGUGGACCGAGGCCACAAUGGGUGAACCGUAGGUGAAUCCAGGGCUUGUUAGUGUUUUGGGCUUCCUGACGACCCUCCCACCCCCCCCGAAAGUCUGUCAUCAGCUGUGACAGUGUCAGUGAAAAAGAGAACCAAGGUUCGGCCUGCCAGAUCUGGCCCUCACCCCACCACCUCCUAUAAGAGGGAUGGGGACCGGUCCUAGGGACCCAGGGUGGGAGCUCGCGGCCUCUGCGAACAAGAACUACAUCUGUAAACAAUAAGGAGAAAGCCAGGUGAUGGAUGGAUAAAACUUAUAGGAGGCCCUUCAACAGGCCUAAUAGAAGGGUCACAUCCAAACUGGAACGAGCAGUUAACAGUGUCCCUUAAAUCUCUCUCUGGAAGGAAGGAAAGAAGGUUACAUUCACAAGUUCACAUCUCCGCUUGCUUGUGCUCCUCGGGGGCACGUGUGAGGCCUAGGGUUCCUCACCGCCCGUCAGAGAGGCGUGUACUGGUUGUCUAUGGCCCGGAGAUGGCUCCGGGAGGAGGAGUCCAUUUCGUAGUCUGAGUCCCGGGCUCGACUGGUGGGUUCAGGCUCCAGGUGCCGCAGGCUGUUGGCCAGUUCCUCAGGUGAAGGCACCAGGUGGAAUAUCUGCUCUGGGGGAGAGGAUCGGCCUGGGAGACCCUCCGGGCCCAGCCCCCGUGGACAGCCAGAAGAACUGAGAUGGGGAAGGCCCAGCUCCGAAUCCCAGUGCGCGAGGGAGAAAGGGAACAGGACAGUGCUGGAGGAACCUGGGGGACAAGUGACCAAGAGAGAGACCGGCGCUGUCAGUCUUAAUGUGACAGAGGGGCUAAAUGUCGAAAGAACACAAAACCAUCGCUGUGGCUCUGGGUUUGCAGCGAGCGUGUACCCUCUGCCUGGUUCCCUCUGCCGCCCACCCCCUUUAUCAAGGGUCACACCUGGUGGCUGGGAGACGACUACCACGUAGCUGGACAGGCGGACGUCACAGGCAGCACCGCACUCAAGCGGGAUGGGCGAGCGCUGGAAGUGGUGGAGCAUGUCCACGACAGAGGGGAAGUGGAGGUGCUGCACUCGGCACUGGCCCCGCUCGGUCAGCGACAGGCGCAGGUGCUACAGGGGGCGAGUACAGUAGGCUCAGGCACUGGCCGCUGCAGGCCUUCAACCUGGGGGCAGGGGGACCAGCCCGCCUGCCGUGCCCCAUACCUUGGCGAUGCCUUGGAAGUUGAACGUGAGCACAUACUCUCCGCGCCGUGUCUCACUCUGCCGCACCAGGAACACUCCAUGAGCAUCCGGACCCUGCAGCUGAACCAGCUGAGCUGCCUUCACUCGGGAGAUGGGGCCAUGGAACCAGGGGUAGCAGGACAGGAAGUGAUCUGUUUUCUGACAGGUUGGGUCCAGCAACCCCCCAGGAGAAGCACCUGGUAGACAAGAUGGGGGAUGAUGGCCCCCUGUGGGUGCCUGAUGUCCUGGGCUAAAGCUGGUUCUGACUUACAUGGAGGACAGAGGCCUAGACCCACUCACCUUGGUUCAGGGAAUCCGUGCUCCCCCCCGGAGAGUUGGACGUGCCAGGCUCUAGGGCUGAGGGAAUAUGUGUCUCUGGGUCUGUGCUCUCCAGCCUGCCGAAGAGGCUGAGGUUAGGAUCUGGGUAGAUCGGGGGAGCAGGAAAGGCUGUGCCAGGAGUAGAGCCCUAUGUUCUGGGGCCUCACCCUUGGCCUGUGCACUCCCGGAGCUCAGCCAUCCAGGAAUUCAGCUGCUGCUCGUCCUCCACCUCGAAGAUGAUGUCGGUCCGGUCCUUCACCUGGUAGGGAGGAAAGCAGCGAGUGUGUGGGUGCCUCAGGUGUGUGAAUGUAUGACACCCCCCCACCCCCACCCCGGGUGUGGAAAGCUGUCACUCACCUUCAGGACAAAGGUGUAGAGGUUGUCUGGCAUCUCGAGGCGUGUGCAUCGCCGGACCUCCUGGAUAUUGGUGCAGGUUGCCUGUAGCUUGGGCUUUGAACUCUAGGUAGGAGACCAAGGCGCACACUUGAGGUUUGUCCCUCACGGCCCUUCACCCACCCAGGCCUCUGUGUGUUUCUGCAGUCUUCCCGGGGGCUUAGCUUGCCAAGUGAGCACUCAUGAUGCCAGGCCUGGGGAAAGGCCUAGCAUCCCGGUUUGCAGAAGCCUGCCGAGGGCCCUUCUCCCAUAGCCUCUUAAACACUGACUUCACCCCCUAAACACUGCGACCUACAGAAACCAAAGUGCGAUGAGGGCCAACGCCCUCUUGACCUGAACCUGUGGACACUCCAGCUGUGACAUGUGUUUGCCUGCUGACAUCUGUCUCCCCUUCCACUGGUGGAACAAAGAGCACCGAAUCCAGCCAGGUCACAUCAAAACAGACCUGGAGAGUGGACACGAGGACAUCCGAUCCAAGUCACAUUUCCCUGUGUGGUGCUGACUGCCAGGGGCUUGGGUGAUCAUCCUGCCUUUAGCUUCUCCCCUCUGCCCCGCGUCAAUUCCCCAUUAGUGCAGGCUUCUGACCAAACAUCAGCCAUAGGAAACCCAUGAUGUCACCACAUCUUAAAGACAAGAAACACAAUUUCUUGGAGGUGAAGCCAUUUGCCUGAAAGAGGGUAGAUCGGUUUUAACCUCUGUCCACAGCAUACAGCCUAGAACCUCAAACUCCCACAUCUGCCUGCCUUCAAAUCUGAGCAUAAGGAGGGGUGGGUUUGGCUACAGGGUGUGGGGGCCGGGGGGAGGGGUAGCAGAGUAGCUUAACCACAGGCUCUUGGGGCCUCUGCCAACAUGCCUAAAGAGGCAAAGCCUAAUCUGGCCCCAGUUACAACCAGCUGGAAACUGACACAAAACCUUGGGCCCGGGAGGCUCCCAUGACGUCCAGCAUACACAGGGAUUCGGAGUGCGUGGGAGGUGGUCCCCUACUGCUUUGCCACCAAGAGCACCUUUUCUGACUCAACCUGGCAGGAGCUGACCUUGGCAGAUGCCUGUUUCCAGGGAGCCAGCAUCUCCUCCUCUUCCCUUUGUGAUCAGACUGAUGAGAUUGUUUUUCCAGGGUCACGAGAUGAUCAAUGGCUGCUCCCAGCACAGGCCAAAAGCAGAUGAGAACGAAGGAAGAAGGCAGAGAUGAUGGGGGAAUUGAUGGGAAAACCCAACUGGGCCCCUGCCUCCAGUACCUCUUCUCUUCCCCUGGGGCCAGGAGACAUCCAGGGGUCCAGGACCUGGAGAUAACACCUGGCAUUCUUUCAACCUUACAGAACCUCUUUGUAACCUGCUCCUUACCAUCCUGCAAUGAAAUUGAUAUGUAACCUGACCUACCUGUGUAAGUGCCCUGAUGAAGAUAAAGGAAAAAGAAAAUGUAAUCUGUAUUAAAAUAAAAUGUAUUUCAGUGUGAUUAUGCAGAUAAUACAGUGAGCUGCUCCAGUA